CAAACACACAUGCUCACAUGCUUAGACUUACAAACACACAUGCUCACAUGCUUGGGUUCACAAACACACAUGCUCACGUGCUUAGGUUCACAAAUACGCAUGCUCACAUGCUUAGACUCAACCAUGGUGUUGACUGCGGCCAGUUCCUGCCUCCUCCUGGCACAGACUUCUGCCACUGUCCUCAGAGUGUCUUGAAGCUAGCAGCUGCCCAAAGGCAUGGUUGAUGAGACUCUUCCGUGAGACAGUUGCUCUCUAGGUCUUAAAAAAAAGCAGGCGUCAUGUGAGGGCCUCUCUCCAGACUCUUCCAUGGUAUCUCCUCCCUUCUUGUGUGUCACUAAUUGAGCCGUGUGGCAGCACUAAGCUUUCUCCUUGUUUGCACGCACUUGU